rnacentral:ncRNA from 1 species
UAGAACAAUGUAGGUAAGGGAAGUCGGCAAAAAUGGAUCCGUAACUUCGGGAAAAGGAUUGGCUCUGAGGGCUGGGUCGGAUGGGCUGGCGUAAGAAGCUGUUCCGGUUUUGGUGAGGACUGGGCGAGGCUUUCGGGCUUUACUCGGACCAUGCCGAGACCAGGCAGUAGACGACGUCAGCUGUGCUUGUCGUGUUUCGGCGCGGCAGCUUCGUCCGGCAACAAACAGCCAACUCAGAACUGGCACGGACUAGGGGAAUCCGACUGUCUAAUUAAAACAAAGCAUUGCGAUGGCUGUUGCUCGGUGUUGACGCAAUGUGAUUUCUGCCCAGUGCUCUGAAUGUCAAAGUGAAGAAAUUCAAUCAAGCGCGGGUAAACGGCGGGAGUAACUAUGACUCUCUUAGACGGGCCGCUUGAUGAUGGUGUGCUGGACUGAGAGACAAACCUGAGCGCGGCGUGGGCAGACCAGCCUGCUGUUACUUGGUGGACAUGCAGGUUAGGCCACUGCCACCUCGAGAUGGUGAAACUAUGCUAUGUUGAGGCAGAAGCUUGGCCGAAGCUUGGAUGACUGUUCAGUAAUGGCGGCUGGAUGCCGGGGGGCUCCAGUUCGAAAAAUGGCUCCACUACUGGGGAAACCUGGUAGAGGGUGAACAUUACUGAUCAGGAUUCCGGGCUAAAGCUUUGCUUCUAGUGCGGAUGAUUGUGAGGAUUGUUCUGCCUUCGGAUUGGGUGGCCCCCCGCACCCGGUUCGGUCUGGUGGUUCGAUUCUCACCGGAGGGAUCCUUGCUCCGUAGGUACGCCCUUGGAGUAGGGGGAACUUCGCUCGAAUUGAAACACGGAUCAGGAUCGGGCCUGCACGCGCUAUGGUCGGGUGCGGCUCGAACUCUAACAUACUUUCAUUUAGCUGGUCUCCGCUUAGGCGGGUCCGGGUUUCGAUUCGGAUGUUGAUGAUCGCAGGGUAAAGGCGCGAUGGCAGAGCUGGCUCGUCUUGGCGACGCCGGAGUGCUUAUCCCUGUCUGACAGUGUUGGUGCCUCCAAGUGGCGAGAGUCGGGCAACGGUGCGGUCGAGUGCGAUGUAUAUAUGUACUUUUUUAUUCUGUUUAUCUUUUAUUUUCACUUUAUUAACUUUUUUCUAACUUUAAUUUUAAUCGUUCUGGUAUUGUUACCUUUAUAUUUCUCAUUAUUAUUAUUAUUACUUACAUCGUACUCGGUCGUAGCGGCUAAAUCCCACUGUCUAAUCAGCUAGUUCCGGGUUAGCUCCCCGGUUCUGGCUUUGUGUCAUCCACAGGCUCCGAAGACUACUAAGAAAAAAUUCGAACUCGGCCACUGCCGAGUCGCAGGGUGACACCUGCACCUCCCCGAAAGGGGGUCAGGGUGCCAGUUGGAGCUGUCCGGAUUGUGAGAGAGCGUUUUCGACCAAGACGGGGCUUGGAGUCCACCGCAGGGCUCGGCACCCUAGUAGUUUCCAUCAGCAGAAGUGUGAGGAAGUUGAGAAGCAGAGUAAGAGACGGUGGACGGAUGAGGAGAAGCAUAUCCUAGCUAGAGCUGAGGCAGGGUUUAGCGGAGCCGAGGCAGGUAUUAAUGACUUAUUAGUAGCAGCAAAUAUUCUUCCGGGAAGGACUAAGGAGAGCAUUAAGGGGGCCAGAAAGGCGGCAGCUUAUAAGCUCUUGGUUGAGAAAUUUAGAGAGGAGCGUAGUACCGAGCUUGCGGGUCAGAGUGAGAGUGCUGGUACUAGGGACGUGGAGGAGAGUACGGCUAUUAGUGCUAGCGUUGGUAGUGAGAGUAGCCAGGAGAUGGAGUCCAGACCGGAAUUAACUACAAAACCCAAAAAAACUAAUAUAAAGAACAGAAAAAAUCCAAAAAAAGAUGACAGAGUAGGCAACGCAGGUCCGUCCUCCUCCAUGGGGUCCGGGGCUUGCUCUCCAAGGUUGGAAGGUAUCCCGGAGGUCGGGUCCGAAGAGGUGAAUAAGGUAGAGGCAGAGGCUAGCAGAGGUAUUAAUAGGAAAGCGGUAGAGUGGGUUCUUAGUAUCGAGCCGGUUAAGGGCUAUGAGAAGCAGUGCAGUGAGAUUAGAUUAGCGAUCGAAGGUGAGAAGUGGGUUGAGUGUAGUGAGCUCGUUGAGGCGUGUUUCCUUAGCUAUCGUGAUGAGAAGAAAAGUAACGCCAAGAGGCCAGUUAGAAAGAAGGCAGUUAAGAGAGAGCUGAAGAAUAGAGAGAAGCGCAGAAGAGCGUAUGGAGAGAUGCAGAGAAUUUAUAGUAAGGAUAGGAAGAAAGCAGCGGCUGCUGUUUUUAGUGGCGCGUGGAGGUUGUGGAGUGAGCCUAGAGAGGAGAAUAAGCAGUUUGAAGAUCAGAAGAUGGAGUAUUGGAAGAGAGUUUUGGGCAGGGAGUCUGACCCGGAUGGUCGUCCGGUUAAGCCUCUGAGGGAGCCAGCUGUUGAGAUCGAGGAGCCGAUUAGUCUAGCAGAGUGCAAGAAAGCGCUGAGAGACCUUAAGCAGACAGCUUCGGGACCAGAUGGCGUUAGCUGGAGUAGUGUGAAGAGCUUGGGUCCAGGUUGGCUUCAGUACCUUUUUAAUUCCAUCUUGGCGUGCGGGUAUCCUACAAAAUCUUUUAAAAAUUCGCGCACAGUGCUGAUUCCUAAGACAGAAAAACCUAGUGACCCGGGAGAGUUUAGGCCCUUAGCGAUUGCUAGUGUUUUUGGCAGAGUCUUUCAUAGAAUCUUAGCUAGUAGGUUGGGAGUCUGGGCGCCGUUAGGAGCGAGUCAACGAGCCUUUCAGGUUGGGAUCGAUGGUGUCUCUAUGAACCAUCUCAUCUUAGAGGCGGCUCUGGCGGCAGCUAGAAGGGGAGAUAGUGAGCUUUAUUUAGCUUGGUUAGAUCUUAGAAAAGCGUUUGACUCGGUUAACCAUCAAUCUUUGCUUCGUGCAGCUCGGCGUGCAGGACUGCCUGAGUCCAUCUUGGGUUACUUGGGCAACCUGUACGACGGGGCGGUCACCGAGUUGAACGGGGUUGCUAUUAAGAUUAGUAGAGGGGUUAAGCAGGGGGAUCCUCUAUCACCUAUUCUAUUCUGCUAUGUGAUAGAUGAGUUAAUGGACAACCUAGAUAGCGGUAUUGGGUUCCCGUUGGCAGGGCAUAGAGUCAACGCGGCAGCCUUUGCCGACGACUUGGCUAUUCUGUCUAGGUCUAAAGCCGGUUUGCAGGCGCUCUUGGCAAGCUUGGCCGACUCACUUCUUCCCACUGGGCUUGAGGUGAACCCGGCUAAGUGCUCCACGCUUGCUAUUAUUUGGGACGGGAAGAAUAAGCGUUGGCUGCAUGAUGCCAAGGGGCAGUUUAAGUUUAGGGGGUCUACUCUGCCAGCACUUGGAGUUGAGGAGUCGUAUAAGUAUUUAGGACUUCAGUAUGGUUCAAAGGGCAAGUUGAAGACGGGGCUGGAGUUGCUUAAGGGUAUGCUCAGAGAGUUAAAGGAGGCGCCGUUGAAACCGCAGCAGAGAGUGUUCCUGCUCAGAACAAAUAUUCUACCUAAGAUUAUGUAUUACUUAGUUAAUGGACGCGUGCACCAGUACACUCUUCGCGAGUGUGACAAGUGUGUUCGACGUUUUCUCAGGGAGGUUCUCCAUCUGCCGCACGACACACUCCGGUGUCUGCCUUUCAUGCGUGUGCGAAGGAUGGAGGCCUCGACAUCGACUGUUUUGAGUCGCUUGUCCCAAUGUAUAAAUGGCAGAAGCUGGUGAGCCUCGAAGAGGUUCCGGACAAUUUGGUCCGUGACUUGUCUCAGCUACCUGCCAUUCGCAAGCGGUUUCAACUUAAAGGUGCGCAGACCAGUUUUAAUAACAGAGCGGAGUAUCGGAUGUUCUGGAAGAACAAGUUGCUGGACAAUCUAGAUGGAUUUGGUUUAGGUGAAGCAGCGGACGUUCCUCAAGUCCACUCUUGGGUGACUGAUGGCUCGUCCCUGCUCACAGGCGAAAUGUAUAUUAAGUGCCUUAAAAUUAGGUGGAAUGUUUGGCCGACUGCAGCUCGUGCGUCCAGAGGUAGGAGGCAGGCCCCUCUCUGUGAUGCGGGCUGCAGGCAAAUUGAAGGUUUGGGGCACAUUCUGCAGCAGUGUAAUAGGACUUGGGAUAAGAGAGGGGCUAGGCAUGAUAGAAUUGUUGAGUUUGUUGGUAGUCAGGUGGAACGGCGAGGGUUCAAUGUUAUUAAGGAGAAGUCUUUUGCGACUCCUAGGGGGCAUAGACGACCUGAUCUAAUUAUAUAUAAUAAGGAUAGAGUGUGGAUUGCUGACGUCACGAUCUGUGCGGACAGAGGAGCGGGGCCUAUGGCCCUCGCGAGGGACAACAAGAUCAAGUAUUAUACGGACGAGGAUCUAGCGACUGAGGUCGCGAAGGUGGCGGGCCCUGGUGCCCAGAGCGUUGUUGGCCUGGUUUGGAACUGGAGAGGGUGUUGCGAGAAGAAGACGGAUGAGUGGCUCAAGAAGAUGGGUGUGCCGAUCGAGUCUAGAAGGCUGGCUUCGGUCAGAGUGCUGGAAGGCUCGGUCUGGUGCGCGGAGGUGUUUAGAAAGAGAACUGGAAUAAAUUUCGCGCAGGUUGGUGGUCGCAAUCGGAGCGAGUAAGUGUCGUGUUUGUGGCUCCGGCGUUCGGUAACGUCCGGACCAGUUUCAGGCAUCCGCCCGGCAGUCCCGGCUGGUCCCAUGUAUAUGACGCUGCUCUAUUUAAAGAGUUGGCCGACUUGACCACCUGGACGGGGGGUUGUACCGGUUUUCCAGCGGUUUCCACGCCAUAAAACCAGCUAAUAUGCUACCUGGAUGAUGGGCCAGUAUAGGCUCGGGCAGUAGCCCAAUGUUUCUUCGCGAAACCUUCCGGGACAGCACUUCAAAAAUAGCCAAAUGCCUCGUCAUCUAAUUAGUGACGCGCAUGAAUGGAUUAACGAGAUUCCCACUGUCCCUAUCUACUAUCUAGCGAAACCACAGCCAAGGGAACGGGCUUGGCAGAAUCAGCGGGGAAAGAAGACCCUGUUGAG